AUUGAACGCUGGCGGCAGGCCUAAAACAUGCAAGUCGAACGAGUGGCGGACAGGUGAGUAAUGUCUGGGAAAAUGCCCGAGGGAGGGGGAUAACUAAUGGAAACGGUAGAUAAUACCGCAUACCAUCGGAUGUGCCCAGAUGGGAUUAGCUUGUAGGUGAGGUAACGGUACACCUAGGCGACGAUCCCUAGCUGGUCUGAGAGGAUGACCAUCCACACUGGAACUGAGACACGGUCCAUACUCCUACGGGAGGCAGCAGUGGGGAAUAUUGCACAAUGGGCGCAAGCCUGAUGCAUCCAUGCCGCGUGUAUGAAGAAGGCCUUCGGGUUGUAAAGUACUUUCAGCGGGGAGGCGUUACCCGCAGAAGAAGCACCGGCUAACUCCGUGCCAGCAGCCGCGGUAAUAC
rnacentral:rRNA from 1 species